rnacentral:rRNA from 1 species
UGGAUGAACUGUGGGUAGGGGUGAAAGGCCAAUCAAACUGGGAAAUAGCUCGUACUCCCCGAAAUGUUUUUAGGAACAGCCUCGGAGGAAGUUUACUGGAGGUAGAGCUACCAAUAGGACUAGGGGGUGUCACAACCUACCGAAUCCUGAUGAACUCCGAAUGCCAGUAAAUAUUAUCCGGGAGUGAGGGUAAGGGUGCUAAGGUCCUUAUCCGAGAGGGAAACAACCCAGACCAUCAGCUAAGGUCCCAAAUACUCAUUAAGUGGGAAACGAUGUGGGAAGGCUUAGACAGCUAG